rnacentral:rRNA from 1 species
UACCUUUUGUAUAAUGGGUCAGCGACUUAUAUUCUGUAGCAAGGUUAACCGAAUAGGGGAGCCGGAGGGAAACCGAGUCUUAAUUGGGCGUUAAGUUGCAGGGUAUAGACCCGAAACCCGGUGAUCUAGCCAUGGGCAGGUUGAAGGUUGGGUAACACUAACUGGAGGACCGAACCGACUAAUGUUGAAAAAUUAGCGGAUGACCUGUGGCUGGGGGUGAAAGGCCAAUCAAACCGGGAGAUAGCUGGUUCUCCCCGAAAGCUAUUUAGGUAGCGCCUCGUGAAUUCAUCUCCGGGGGUAGAGCACUGUUUCGGCUAGGGGGCCAUCCCGGCUUACCAACCCGAUGCAAACUGCGAAUACCGGAGAAUGUUAUCACGGGAGACACACGGCGGGUGCUAACGUCCGUCGUGAAGAGGGAAACAACCCAGACCGCCAGCUAAGGUCCCAAAGUCAUGGUUAAGUGGGAAACGAUGUGGGAAGGCCCAGACAGCCAGGAUGUUGGCUUAGAAGCAGCCAUCAUUUAAAGAAAGCGUAAUAGCUCACUGGUCGAGUCGGCCUGCGCGGAAGAUGUAACGGGGCUAAACCAUG